rnacentral:rRNA from 1 species
GUGGAGCCAAUCCGACAAAGCUGGUCUCAGUUGGGAUUGCAGGCUGCAACUCGCCUGCAUGAACGUGGAGUUGCUAGUAAACGCAGAUCAGCCAUACUGCGUUGAAUACGUUCCCGGGCCUUGUACACACCGCCCGUCACGUCAUGGAAGUUGGUAAUACUUGAAGUCGCUGGGUGAACCCAUUUAUUUGGGGCACAGGCGCCGAGAGUAGGAUCGAUGACUGGGACGAAGUCGUAACAAGGUAGCUGUACCGGAAGGUGCGGCUGGAUCACCUCCUUUCUAAGGAGA